AAGAGCUGAAAAAUAAAAUUUCUUUUAGAGAGAAUGGAUUCCCACAAAAGUUCACUCUUGCAACUCUUCAUGAAAUAUGUUUAGAAUUUCAUUCUGCUGGUUCUAAUUAUGUACUCCUAUAAUCCAACAGGUCUGGGCUGCAAAACUUGAAUGAUUUUAGAUUUUUGUUUUUUAAGAGUCGCUGAUGUCAUAUAAUCAGAUUUUCAAAGCUCAGAUUUGUAGCCGUAACUACUGUAUAACAUCCAUGUUUAGUCUAAAGAAAGACAACUCUAAAUUUAUAAGAAAGCCAUACAAGCAAAAUUUGAUUUUUUAAAAAUGAUCAUACAUAUAAUACCCAGACACCUUGCUUUAUUUUGCCAAGCAGGAUUACUAAAUUCUGUUAAAAGCAAUCUUGGAAAUUGUUCCUCCAGCAAAUAGCUAAAGGUGUUCAGAGGCUACCUGUCAGGGAUUUUUUUUAAUUUGGAUAUUUAUUGGACUAAAUGGCUUAAAAAUGCUACUUUAAAACUCUGCAAUGAAGCAGCUAGAAACCUUUUAGUUUCUAAUUUCUCCACUUGCACAUCAAAAACAGGUGGCAAAAAUCCAAUCUAGGGCUCAGCAAACUUCAGAGAACAAUGAAAUUCAAAGUCAAGGAAAAGUAGUCCAAAGGAUUUUCUACAUAUUUUCAGUUAAAACAAUUUGACUGAAUAAGAGUUUCCAAUACACCCCCAUUUAUUUAUUUAUUUAAUCUGCCAAUCAGCAAGAAAUUUAAUGUACAAUUAUAAUAAAGCUAAAAAUAAAGCUAAAAAAAUAAAAAAGGAAUACAAACAAUAGAACAAAAUUGAGAUAUCCCAUAUAAUGUCAGCCUAGUCCAGAAAUGUAACCAAAUAGAUUAAUUCUAUUUUAUUGUAAGAUUACAUUAAUAGGAUCUUGCAAAUUUGAAAGUACAUCCCCCCCCUUGCAUUUACAACCCAAGAAACUAGGGAGUGUUCCUUCUAAGACAUUUACCAGACCCACAUUCCUUUUGUGGGCUUAGCUGCCUCUUGUCUGACCAUUCCUAUGGCUGUGGCUCUUCCCCCUGCCUCCCAAGGCCAUUUGCACAUACCGUUAAACAUACGCAAUUUGGCCUACUUCUAUUUUUAAUAUCUUGCAGAUAGCUAUCAAUUGGAAGUGGGGGAAGGGUCACUUCUGAUCCUUCGGAGACCGUUCUGUAGCACUGGCCCAGCCAAUGAUAAACAACAUCUGUAAACAUCAGCCCCUUGCAUUCUGGGAAAAUGGAGGAUCAACGGCAGUUUCUCUUUACUGCUGAAAUGGUGCCAUUAGAUUGAGAUAAAAGAUAAUCCUAUUUCCCCAUGGUAGAGGCAGGGACGAGAGGACUGGUUCCUGUUGCAGGAGAUGGCUAUUUUGAAGUUCUCCUUGUUUUGGAGAACAUGCACAACUACACAAGCUCUUCCAUCCAUCUCAAAAAUCAUAAGAUUUUUUUUGCUCAUUUUUACUUUUUUAAACCUACUUUUCCUUUCUUUUGCUUUUUAGAUACCUUCUUGGGAACCUUUUGCAUAGAUUUAUCUGAGGACCUCUGGCACACAAGGGCAAGAGGAGUUAAGCCACCAACCCGUAACAACGAAUACCCUCAGUGCUCUUCCACAAGUCCCCGAGGAGGUGUGAUAAGUGCUGCUACAGUUCUUGAAUUGCUGGCCUCUCAAUGGAAUGACACUUCAAGCUUCUAUAGUGAUUUCCUCAGCCAGCAGUGGUAACUAAACAAUGACAGUAUGCUGAUGAAGAACAUAGCAGCCACAAAGAAAAGGAAAAGAACAUGGAAUUUUGCACGGGUGUCUGGUAGUUCGUUCUGAGAAGAAAAAGAAAAGAACUCUAUUAAUGCACUUUCAUCGAUUUCCUGUUCAAAUGCUAUUUUCUUAUAAAGAUUUUAUUCUGAAUUAAAAUAAAUAAUAUGAAUUCAUGUACAGCAAUCAACACUUAUAUGUGAAUUUGACAACAUACAGUAUUUCUUUGUGGUCAUAACUUUCACAACUAAUAGACAAAAGUCACUGAACUGGAAAAGUUAACAACUGACUGUCAACCAGUCAAAUCAGGAGGAAAACAAAUAUUGUUCAAAUUCAUCUUGUUAAAUUUGACAUUAAGAAAGGAUAGAAGAGCUGAAAAAUUUGCAAGAUGGACUAAUUAAAGAUUAGCAAGGGAAUAGUUGUUGUGCUAGAUGAAAUAAGAAAGAUUUAAGCAAUGUUUUUGUUAAGGAAGAAAAGAAUGAUUAAAAUAUACCUGUGAAUUUAAGAAAUUUAAAGAAACUUCUUGAAAAUACAAGAUUAUAAGGCAGGAAUCCUUCGACUCCUCAGAAGAUUUUUCAGGAUUAACUCCACUAAGGGAAAAAGUAACUCUAUCUAUAGAAGCGAAGGCUGACUUUCAGAUCGUACUUGCAAUAUGUAUGGAAACCUCUGCAGCUGAUAUUUAUUUAGCAGUGGCAAGAUCCAAUACAACACUUGGAUCUGCAGAACCCAUGGUAUUUCCAAUCCCCAACACACUCCAAACCAUGUCAAUUUCAGCUAAUGUUGAUUAAUGCCUUCUCUUAAAAUCAAUUUAAAGAUUAAUUUGGUGUUAAGAAAAUGGCUGUAUAUUAGGUGCAGACAAGCAACACUGCAGCAUUUUUCUCCUUCUCCCAGUAUAAUCUUGGGAGAGAAUCAGAGAAAUAUUGAUCCAUAUGCUAAUUAAAUUAAGUAAAAGAAGGAAGUACUCCACUUUGUUUUUCUUUUAACUGGAACAUAUCUGUGUGAUAAUUUUUAUUUACUGUCUUAAUAUUUUUUUAAAAAAAUAUGUUAAUGUUAUAUUAUUGAUUGAUAUGGAUAGUCACUUUAAGGGAUACACAAAUGUUUAAAAUAAAAAAAUGUAUAUUUUUGACUACA